GUUCUCCUGUGUUGUUCUGCAAAGGCAGCGUCUGUUUGAACGUCGUAGGGGCCAACCAUGAGAAUGCUUCCACCCAGGUCAAAACCUCUGAAGAUGUGCUGGAAGACUUCCAAUGUCAUGAUGAAAUCAUGCCCACUAUACUCCUCACCAGUGUGCAUUACAGCUCAAUCUCCAUCCAUGGCUGCUGAUCCCCAGAGCUCGCAGCCCACUGAGAUCCCCCGUGUCCUGGAGACCAUG